GAUGAACGCUGGCGGCGUGCCUAAUACAUGCAAGUCGAGCGAACGGACGAGAAGCUUGCUUCUCUGAUGUUAGCGGCGGACGGGUGAGUAACACGUGGAUAACCUACCUAUAAGACUGGGAUAACUUCGGGAAACCGGAGCUAAUACCGGAUAAUAUUUUGAACCGCAUGGUUCAAAAGUGAAAGACGGUCUUGCUGUCACUUAUAGAUGGAUCCGCGCUGCAUUAGCUAGUUGGUAAGGUAACGGCUUACCAAGGCAACGAUGCAUAGCCGACCUAAGAGGGUGAUCGGCCACACUGGAACUGAGACACGGUCCAGACUCCUACGGGAGGCAGCAGUAGGGAAUCUUCCGCAAUGGGCGAAAGCCUGACGGAGCAACGCCGCGUGAGUGAUGAAGGUCUUCGGAUCGUAAAACCCUGUUAUUAGGGAAGAACAUAUGUGUAAGUAACUGUGCACAUCUUGACGGUACCUAAUCAGAAAGCCACGGCUAACUACGU
rnacentral:rRNA from 1 species